GAUGAACGCUGGCGGCGUGCCUAAUACAUGCAAGUCGAGCGAACAGAUGAGGAGCUUGCUCCUUUGACGUUAGCGGCGGACGGGUGAGUAACACGUGGGUAACCUACCUAUAAGACUGGGAUAACUUCGGGAAACCGGAGCUAAUACCGGAUAAUAUUUCGAACCGCAUGGUUCGAUAGUGAAAGAUGGCUUUGCUAUCACUUAUAGAUGGACCUGCGCCGUAUUAGCUAGUUGGUAAGGUAACGGCUUACCAAGGCAACGAUACGUAGCCGACCUGAGAGGGUGAUCGGCCACACUGGAACUGAGACACGGUCCAGACUCCUACGGGAGGCAGCAGUAGGGAAUCUUCCGCAAUGGGCGAAAGCCUGACGGAGCAACGCCGCGUGAGUGAUGAAGGUCUUCGGAUCGUAAAACUCUGUUAUUAGGGAAGAACAAACGUGUAAGUAACUGUGCACGUCUUGACGGUACCUAAUCAGAAAGCCACGGCUAACUACGUGCCAGCAGCCGCGGUAAUACGUAGGUGGCAAGCGUUAUCCGGAAUUAUUGGGCGUAAAGCGCGCGUAGGCGGUUUUUUAAGUCUGAUGUGAAAGCCCACGGCUCAACCGUGGAGGGUCAUUGGAAACUGGAAAACUUGAGUGCAGAAGAGGAAAGUGGAAUUCCAUGUGUAGCGGUGAAAUGCGCAGAGAUAUGGAGGAACACCAGUGGCGAAGGCGACUUUCUGGUCUGUAACUGACGCUGAUGUGCGAAAGCGUGGGGAUCAAACAGGAUUAGAUACCCUGGUAGUCCACGCCGUAAACGAUGAGUGCUAAGUGUUAGGGGGUUUCCGCCCCUUAGUGCUGCAGCUAACGCAUUAAGCACUCCGCCUGGGGAGUACGACCGCAAGGUUGAAACUCAAAGGGAUUGACGGGGACCCGCACAAGCGGUGGAGCAUGUGGUUUAAUUCGAAGCAACGCGAAGAACCUUACCAAAUCUUGACAUCCUUUGACCCUUCUAGAGAUAGAAGUUUCCCCUUCGGGGGACAAAGUGACAGGUGGUGCAUGGUUGUCGUCAGCUCGUGUCGUGAGAUGUUGGGUUAAGUCCCGCAACGAGCGCAACCCUUAAGCUUAGUUGCCAUCAUUAAGUUGGGCACUCUAAGUUGACUGCCGGUGACAAACCGGAGGAAGGUGGGGAUGACGUCAAAUCAUCAUGCCCCUUAUGAUUUGGGCUACACACGUGCUACAAUGGACAAUACAAAGGGCAGCGAAACCGCGAGGUCAAGCAAAUCCCAUAAAGUUGUUCUCAGUUCGGAUUGUAGUCUGCAACUCGACUACAUGAAGCUGGAAUCGCUAGUAAUCGUAGAUCAGCAUGCUACGGUGAAUACGUUCCCGGGUCU
rnacentral:rRNA from 1 species